rnacentral:rRNA from 1 species
GACGAACGCUGGCGGCGUGCUUAACACAUGCAAGUCGAGCGGUAAGGCCCUUUCGGGGGUACGACGAGCGGCGAACGGGUAGAGUAACACGUGGGUGGACCUGCCCUCCAGCUCUGGGAGUAAGCCUGGGAAACCGGGUCUAAUACUGGAUAUGACUCCAUGACGCAUGUUGUGGGGUGGAAAGCCUUGUGCGGCUGAGGAUGGGCCCGCGGCCUAUCAGCUUGUUGGUGGGGUGAGGCCUACCAAGGCGACGACGGGUAGCCGGCCUGAGAGGGCGACCGGCCACACUGGGACUGAGAC